AACCAACCAGUAUCAACAGAAGUUCACCUUCCCCCACUAUUUCCAGGCUGUUCAUCCACAGCAGAUAGCUCUGAACCCUUGGAAUCGCCUUAAGGAAAAUACUUACCCAUUCAUUCUCACUUUGGCUUGAUUGGAAAAAUCAUUUCUAUAUAGUUUCUUCAUCUAUCAUAUCACCUCAUACCAAUAUGUUGACUGCUUCUUGAAAGGGCAACACUCCUGAGCCAAAGGAAGAUUGUGUAACACUGUUUGUAUUCCUCCUUUCGGUUCAUGUUGGAUAUGCUAGAUCUGGAUUGCGGUAUCAUUUUAACUGUAUCGACGAUUAACUGAAGUCUGCAGCAUGAUGGCUGAGUCACAGAACCCCACAUCUCUUGCCAAAACAUUAAAAUUUCAGAUG